ACUUGCUUUUACAAAUAAGCUUUAGUUUUGCUGAUAAAUAAAAUUAGACAUUGAAAGAUGAAAGAAACAAUGAGGAAAAACCCUAAAUUCUGUAAAAAUUAAAAAUUAGAAGGGAGGGGAGGGUCAUACAUUGGAGGGAAAUCUCUGGUAUCAAGCAUUCUGGGAAGUCUGUACUCUCAAGUAUCUCAGGCAAUGGGGAAGAGAGAAGGGAAAUGCAGCCGGGAAAUUAGAAUAAAAGAGGAGGCUGUAUCCUCCAAAAUUUGGAGACACCCCAGGGGAAUGCCUCAUGGCCUCUCCCUUUAUUAGAAUAAAGUAAAAGGACUUCUCUGUCUCCUUUUUUGGACAUAAACCUCUGAUGUCUGUGGAUUAAUUUUUCUAACAGACUUAAUGUACCAACAGACUGGGAGGAGCCCAUAGAAACCCAGAAAAAUAAAAGGCCACCAACAGAGCAUCAGUGGCCAUCUACCAACAUCUACCCCAGACUCUGCCAGAGUUGGAGACAUCUCCUCCGGAAAGGACUUAUAAAAAAAUCAAAGGAUGAAGAUCUAAUUAACAUCAAAGGUGAAGGUGGAACCAGCCAGUGAUGCCACAGGAGAGAAUCUCCCAACCCAACAGCAGGAGCCACAUGACUUCCACCAGUAACUAUAGCAACCCAGAGCAAAUAAAUGCUAUUUUCAAACCA